CCUACGGGAGGCAGCAGUGGGGAAUAUUGGACAAUGGGGGCAACCCUGAUCCAGCCAUGCCGCGUGUGUGAAGACGGCCCUCGGGUUGUAAAGCACUUUCAGUGAGGAAGAACGCCUGGUGGUUAAUACCCAUCAGGAAAGACAUCACUCACAGAAGAAGCACCGGCUAACUCCGUGCCAGCAGCCGCGGUAAUACGGAGGGUGCGAGCGUUAAUCGGAAUUACUGGGCGUAAAGCGCGCGUAGGUGGCUUGAUAAGCCGGUUGUGAAAGCCCCGGGCUCAACCUGGGAACGGCAUCCGGAACUGUCAAGCUAGAGUGCAGGAGAGGAAGGUAGAAUUCCCGGUGUAGCGGUGAAAUGCGUAGAGAUCGGGAGGAAUACCAGUGGCGAAGGCGGCCUUCUGGACUGACACUGACACUGAGGUGCGAAAGCGUGGGUAGCAAACAGGAUUAGAUACCCUAGUAGUC
rnacentral:rRNA from 1 species